rnacentral:rRNA from 1 species
CCUACGGGUGGCUGCAGUGAGGAAUAUUGGUCAAUGGGCGCGAGCCUGAACCAGCCAAGUAGCGUGAAGGAUGACUGCUCUAUGGGUUGUAAACUUCUUUUAUAAAGGAAUAAAGUGAGGCACGUGUGCCUUUUUGUAUGUACUGUAUGAAUAAGGAUCGGCUAACUCCGUGCCAGCAGCCGCGGUAAUACGGAGGAUCCGAGCGUUAUCCGGAUUUAUUGGGUUUAAAGGGUGCGUAGAUGGGUUGUUAAGUCAGUUGUGAAAGUUUGCGGCUCAACCGUAAAAUUGCAGUUGAUACUGGCAUUCUUGAGUACAGUAGAGGUAGGCGGAAUUCGUGGUGUAGCGGUGAAAUGCUUAGAUAUCACGAAGAACUCCGAUUGCGAAGGCAGCCUACUAGACUGCAACUGACGUUGAUGCUCGAAAGUGUGGGUAUCAAACAGGAUUAGAUACCCUUGUAGUC